UCCCUGGUGGCUCAGAGGUUAAAGCAUCUGCCUGCAAUGCGGGAGAGCUGGGUUCGAUCCCUGGGUUGGGAA
rfam:TPA: Bos taurus chromosome 9, whole genome shotgun sequence.